rnacentral:misc_RNA from 1 species
UCCGGUUUGUCACCGGCAGUCCCAUUAGAGUGCCCAACUUAAUGUGGCAACUAAUGGCAAGGGUUGCGCUCGUUGCGGGACUUAACCCAACAUCUCACGACACGAGCUGACGACAGCCAUGCAGCACCUGUGUCUAGGUUCCCUUUCGGGCACACUCACAUCUCUGCGAGCUUCCUAGCAUGUCAAGGGUAGGUAAGGUGGGGAUGACGUAGACGUCAUAACC